UCCUGAGAGCAGACAGCGCGGGCUGGGAGCGCCGGCAAGGGCGGCCCUCGCGCACCUGGCUGCCAGCCCGCAGGGGGCUCGCACGCAGACCUGCCCUUGCCACCUCAGCGCUCGGGUGCGGGCUGGGGGCGGUGGAGCCACGAAAGGUGGUGCCGAGAGCGGAGCGCAGGACAGCGCAGGAGCCCCGGCGCAUCGCGGCGCGCACAGACCCAGGAUUUGUGAAGAGGUGACCCAAAUUUCAAGACAAUGUUGGAUGCAAACGGAUUUGCCAGCAACUGCAUCACUGUCAAAACCAGCUCUGCCCGUGUCUUCCGAAGAUACCAAGUGAAAUACAUGUAGAUGGGAUUUACAUCUGAAAAACCAAGUGAGAAACUGAAGACCAGAGAGGGUGAGUGGUUUACUCAGUUUGGCACAACUGACCCCAACCUAGCCCUCCAUGAGGACUGAGCGCAUGAGAGAUCCUGAGCCACAGCCGCCCAGCCCUGCUCCUCUCGAAUUUCUGACCUACAGGAACUGCAAGAAGUAAUGAAAGACUGCUGUUUAAAGCCACUGCAUUUUGGCAUGAUUUGUUAUGCAGUCGUAGAUAACCAGAAAACAUCGGAUUUACAUUUUAAGGAAACAGAGAAGCAAAGAAGUUAGCAAGCUUGUUUUGGCAGAAGAAAAAACACAAAAUACCCAACCACAGAUCCUCAAAAAUAUUGCUAAGCACUAAUUUUGCUAACAUGUUAGACAGCCUUCGGAUCUAGGCAAUCUUGUUCCUCAGCUGGAAAGAGUUCCUGCCAGCCAUGUGAUUCCAAAUCCACCCUGGACAUAUGGGGAUAAUGAGAAAAUCAGCUCCGGCCUUCCCUGGCCUUCCAGCCAAGUGAAUGGGGGCAUCCCCUGGUGCUUCAGCCCGGGGCCCACCCAGAGGAUGCUAGCUGGCCUGCAGAGGCCUCAACCAUGCCCUCCUGGACUCAGGUAAGACUGAGGUUUCCAUGCCCUCAAAACAAUUGUUCAGACAAAAACUCACUGCCCAGGUCAAAGUCACAGCACCAGAAAGCCAACCUGAGGAUGAAGACAAAGCUCUUUGUUGGCACAGUCCCCUGAUCAUUCGAGGUCAGCAUCUCCAUCAAAAUGGACCCAAUGCUGAGGCAAGAAGGAGAACAUCACUGUUAAGAAGGUAAUGAGUCACAAAUGCUAUUUCGAUGGUUUUCUUUGAAAGAAAUACACAGAACCAAACCAAUUUUAAUUAAAGAUCUUGUCUUUGUAAUCAGGCAGCCACAAAUGAAGGCAAAACUGCUUUCAUGUGGCAUAAUAUACACAGAGCUGAACUAGUUUUCCCAUAAAAGGGCAGGUUCUUUUCUUCAAAUAAGAAAAGAGUUUGUUCCUAACAAUAUGGGGGAUGCAACAGAAAGCUGUCUUUUGCAAAGUAUAAAAUUGCAGAUCCUCCCGUGGAAGCCAUUUCUUGAUGCUAAACCAAUGCGAACGUUUGCCAAACGCACAUGCGAGCCGGGAUUAUCCUACCCUUUGAGAUUAGACAUGUGAUCCUGAUUUUUAAGUGAAAAACGCAGCCAGAGGCCAAAUAAACAUACCUACAAGUACAUCGAAAGCUCAAAUGGUUGAGAAAUGAUUGUAACACACCCCGGUGUGUAUUUCUGAGGAAGAAUCAACAUGCACAUGGAAAUUGAUGUUUUGAUUUUUAAUUUUAAAACGACGACAGAACUGAAAUACCUCCCCUAACUAGGUCCACUGAAACCAGUGAGGAGAUAAUCAUUUUCAGUUAAAUAUGCAUGUAAUUUAAUAAUCCACAGAUGGAAAAUGCAUUUGAGGUGGACUGAACACAGCCAGGAGUUUUUGCUUAUCGACAGCACUGAAUCCUGCCUUGACUAGAGAGACUCGUCAUGUGAUCAACUGUGGCCAGAGGGCAUCCUGCAGACAGCUCCUGUCACACCACACUGACCAGACUCUUAUGAGUAUUUAAGCAUCUUCAGGGAAGCGAUUGACUGUCUUAUAAUGGUCUUACAAGUACGGAACUUUAUUACCUGCUAAUAAUCAGAGCACAUGAUGGCACAAUAGAAUAUACGAGUGAAGUUCUAAAUGCAAGGUUGUUCUUAUUCUGUGAGUGGCAAAACUCAUGCAGUGAGCAGAUAAAGCUGGCAGGAGGCAUUGGCGCCCUAAUGCUGGGCACUAACCACCUGCCCGGACUGCGAAUAUCUGUUGGGUCCUUUCUAUAUCUGGUCUAUUCUCGUGUUUGAUUAUAUCCUGGUGGCAAGAAUAGCAAAAUCAACUCUCCUUCCUAUCCCAUGUGGAGAGGCAUGAUUUGAGUCAGAGAGCAUUAUCCUCUCUGCGUUAUCCAACCCCAUGUCCCAUGAUGCACUUUGUAGACAAGCAAGUGUCCCUGGUGGAGAAUCCACAGCCACACAUCCUCAUUGGUUGCAAGGAUCAGUGUCCAAUAUCUACUGCCAUGAUCAUUCUCAGUUUUACAUCCACAGAGCUUCAUAGAAUUCUAACACCACAGGUCCAAGUAGAGGUUUUGGCCUCAGAGUGGGCUAGAUUCCACCUCUGACAGCAGCUGUGGGACUGUUUUUCCAUCUGUAAAAUGGAGACAAGAGUAUCACCUACCUCAUGGUGUUGGUGGGAUCGUUAAACAGAAUUCCGAUCAUGAAACCCUUAGCCUGCUCCCUGCAUAGGCUGCAUGCGCUCAGUGAGCUAUGGCUCUGUUUCAUGCUGACUUUACCAUCAUGUAAGCAGUUUUAAAAAUGCUAGAAGCUUUAGUCAUAGAAUUACCAUAUGAUACAGCCUACUGCAGAGUCCAGAGGCUGAGGCAGGAGAGUUACUUGAACCUGGGAGGCGGAGGUUGCAGUGAGCCAAGAUCGCGCCACUGCACUCCAGCCUGGGCAACAGAGUGAGAUUCUGUCUCAACACAAAAAAGAAGACAUGUGUCCCCAUCACAGUAUCAUACAGAGUGCUUCCACUGCCCUAAAAUACCCUGUGCUCUUCCUAUUCAUCCCUCUCUUCAACCCCAGCAACCACUGAUCCUUUUACCAUCUCCAUGGUUUUGCCUUUCCCAGAAUGUCAUAUUGUUGGAAUCAUACGCUAUGUAGCCUUUGCAAAUGGGCUUCUUUCACCGAGCAAUGUGCAUUGAAGGUGCCUCUAUGACUUUUCAAGGGUUGAUAGCUCAUUCCUUUUUAUUGCUAAAUAAUAUUCCAUUGUCUGAAUGUACCACAUUUUGUUUAUCCAUUCACCUACUAAAGGACAUCUUGGUUGCUUCCAAGUUUGGGCAAUUAUAAAUAAAACU
ensembl:lncRNA FENDRR FOXF1 adjacent non-coding developmental regulatory RNA